ACGGAAACUCCCCCAGCUCCUCCAGCCUGCCAAGGAGAAACGAAUGAGCCGCUAACUAGUCUGGACAAGACCCCCAACGUCAAGUGGAUCAGAGGCGUUGCCGCAGACUGUGUUGAACAUUUGAUGCGAGUGCUGCCAGCCGCUGAAGAAACCCCCGGUGACCAGCGAUCUGAUAGGCAACAGCAAUGACCCAAAAGAGUUUUGCAUUUGGCUAAGGUCAGUGUCCCUACUGGCAGCAUGAGGCGAUUACCUGGACACUGCAAAGGAAGCACACACAGGUCCAACUCCUCCAAGACCGCACAUCAAAAUGAACCAUUGCCAGAAGGUUGUGUUGUGACUUCCAGCGAUCCCAAGACCAUGGAGGAGAUUCCACAAGACACUUACUCUAGAUGCUUAACCCAUCAGCAGUCUUUGGUGCAAGGAGGAACAAAGUGAGCACUGUCAGAGGCACAAAAUGUCUCUGACCAAACAAUGAGAAACAGACUUCAUGAAGGUGGCCUGAGGGCCUGACCUCCUCUUGUGGCUCCUGUGCUCACUGACCAGCACUGUGGAGCCCAAUUUGCAUUUCCUAUAGAAUACCAGAAUUGGCAGGUUCACCACUGGCGCCCUGUGUUAUUCACAGAUGAGAGCAGGUUCACCCUGAACAUGUGACAGACGUGAAAGGCUCCAAGGAAGCCGUGGAGAACAUUAUGCUGUCUGUAAUAUCGAUCAGCAUGACCAGUGUGGUGGUCUGGAGGGAUGCAUCGACCUCUAUGCCCUGAUUGCCAUUAGGUAUAAAAUUCUUCAUAUAUAACCCUUAUGCUUAGACCCUGGUGCAGAAUGUCCUGGGUUUCUCCAAGUAGUGCCCAGUCUUGUGUGAAGAGAGUAUGGAGAAAGUUCCUGUUGGAUAAAGGAAUAGAUACUGUUGACUGGCAUCCAUGCUUGCAAAAUCUAACGAACACAAAGCACCUCUGUGACAUUAUGUUUUACCAUCCAGCAGCUAGAAUGACUCUCCAGGAGCUCAGUGGUCCCCUGGUCCACAUCUGGGAGAUCCCCCAGGACACCAUCCGUUUUCUCAUCAGGAGCAUGUCCCGGCGUCAUCAGGCAUGCACACAAUACACAUACAAUGAAUGUGGGGCCAUACAAACUACUGAGUUCCAUUUUGUAACAUGGACUAGACUACUGCAUCAUUUUUUCACUUUGAAUUUUUUGGGUGUGUUUGAUUUCAGCUCUCUGUAGAUUUAAUCAUUUUCAUUCCCAUCAGAUGAUGUGGCAUCCUUUUGUUCCUAACACAUUACCCAGUCAAUACUGUUUUUUCUCCCCAUUAAGAUCUGAUGUGUUGUCUGUGUGUUCCUUUAAUUUUGUUUUUCUUUGAUGAGUGGACAUAAAUUUGGCUCAUCAGGGGUGACACCACUUACCAAACAUUUUUUUUUUUCAGAUAGAAAAUUCAUGUGAUAGUCUUUAAUGUAUAUCUAAUUGAAGAUCAGAGAUUCACCUAACAACCGUACAUCAUUUUGAUUACCAGCCUUAACUAUAUAAAUAUAUAUAAAAUCAGCUAUUCUGACAGCUGAAUGGUCUUCUAUGUGUGAUCCUCUAAAGACAAAAAUUAGCAGCCUCACACUGAAGCAACUUAGGACAGGUUACUGGUUACCAAGGAGAUGGCUAUAAUUGGUAUGAUUGGUUCUUUAAUGAUUUUUCAUAUUUUUCUUCGUAGUGGAAAUGUAAUUGGUAUAAAAUGAGCAUUUUACUUUAUAAUUAAAUUCUGUUUUGUUCUCAGCAUGUUUCCGUUGAAGAAUUUCAAGUUUCACUGUUCAAUUAUUGACAAACUUGGCAGCAAAAGGAAAUGACAAACGAUCUGGAAGAGACAGUAAGACCCCUGAGGGGUUUAUUGUUCAGCCGCUGCUUCUCUUUAUAAGGGUAAAUCUGACUUCAUGUGGAGGCACGUACUGUAGUAACUCAAAAAAAUUUAAGGAAAACAAAACAAAAGCAAAACACCGGAGCUGUCUUGACAAUAAGCAUCACGUAGUGUUUCACAGUGACAGCACCACUGCCCAACACAACUGCAUUCAAUCCAAAACACUGAUAAAGUCAGUGUAAAGUUAGGACAAAACUGAAAGUAAGUUACUGUGGCUUGUGUUAUUACUAUAGUUUUAUAAGAAUUGCAGGAAUACAAGAUAUGAAGAGCAAACCUAAUUUUAGACCAAAGCAUUGAUUCUCCUUUCUACUGCCCUGCUGUCGCAGCUGAAUCAAGGCAAAGGUCUAAUGCUGCCAGAGCCUGACAUGCUUCAGAGGUAUCUGCAGCAGAAGAGUGCAGAGAUCAAUGUCCUGCUCCAGAACAUCCAGUCCCUCAUCACCUAUCAAAAGCCUGUCAGUCCACGGAAGGUCAAGCCCCAGCAAAGCUUCAUCUCUCAGAUGGAAAGACG